rnacentral:rRNA from 1 species
CCUACGGGUGGCAGCAGUAGGGAAUCUUCCACAAUGGGCGAAAGCCUGAUGGAGCAACGCCGCGUGAGUGAAGAAGGUCUUCGGAUCGUAAAACCCUGUUGUUAGAGAAGAAAGUGCGUGAGAGUAACUGUUCACGUUUCGACGGUAUCUACCCAGAACGCCCCGGCUAACUACGUGCCAGCAGCCGCGGUAAUAAUUAGGUGGCAAGCAUUAUCCGGAUUUAUUGGGCGUAAAGGGAACGCAGGCGGUCUUUUAAGUCUGAUGUGAAAGCCUUCGGCUUAACCGGAGUAGUGCAUUGGAAACUGGGAGACUUGAGUGCAGAAGAGGAGAGUGGAAUUCCAUGUGUAGCGGUGAAAUGCGUAGAUAUAUGGAAGAACACCAGUGGCGAAGGCGGCUCGCUGGACUGUAACUGACGCUGAGGUUCGAAAGCGUGGGUAGCAAACAGGAUUAGAUACCCGUGUAGUC